GCCCCCUCCGCUCUCGUCCUUCCCGGCAGCCCCAGCGCCCUUCCCAGCGCUCCUCAAGAUGGCGGCCGACAGUGAGCCCGAGUCCGAGGUAUUUGAGAUCACGGACUUCACCACUGCCUCGGAAUGGGAAAGGUUUAUUUCCAAAGUUGAAGAAGUUUUAAAUGAUUGGAAACUGAUUGGAAACUCUUUGGGAAAGCCACUUGAAAAGGGUAUAUUUACUUCUGGCGCAUGGGAAGAGAAAUCAGAUGAAAUUUCCUUUGCUGACUUCAAGUUCUCAGUCACUCAUCAUUAUCUUGUACAAGACUCUGCUGAUAAAGAAGGAAAGGAUGAAGUAUUGGAAGAUGUUAUUCCACAGUCUAUGCAAGAUUUGUUGUGUAUGAAUAAUGACUUUCCUCCAAGAGCACAUUGCCUGGUAAGAUGGUAUGGACUCCGAGAGUUUGUGGUGAUUGCCCCUGCUGCAAACCAUGAUGCAGUUCUCAGUGAAUCUAAAUGCAAUCUUCUUUUGAGUUCUGUGUCUAUUGCUUUGGGAAACACUGGCUGCCAGGUGCCACUCUUUGUGCAAAUUCAUCAUAAAUGGCGAAGAAUGUAUGUGGGCGAAUGUCAGGGUCAUGGUGUCCGAACUGAUUUUGAAAUGGUUCAUCUUCGGAAAGUGCCAAAUCAGUACACUCAUUUAUCAGGUCUGCUGGAUAUCUUCAAAUCAAAGAUUGGAUGUCCUUUAACUCCUUUGCCUCCAGUUAGUAUUGCUAUUCGCUUUACAUAUGUACUUCAGGAUUGGCAGCAGUAUUUUUGGCCUCAGCAGCCUCCAGAUAUAGAUGCCCUUGUAGGAGGAGAAGUUGGAGGCCUGGAGUUCGGCAAGUUACCAUUUGGUGCCUGUGAAGAUCCUAUAAGUGAACUCCAUUUAGCAACUACAUGGCCUCACCUGACUGAAGGUAUCAUUGUGGAUAAUGAUGUUUAUUCUGAUUUGGAUCCUAUUCAGGCUCCCCAUUGGUCUGUUAGAGUUCGAAAAGCUGAUAAUCCUCAGUGUUUGCUGGGUGAUUUUGUCACUGAAUUUUUUAAAAUUUGCCGUCGAAAGGAGUCAACUGAUGAGAUUCUUGGUCGAUCCACAUUUGAGGAAGAAGGGAGAGAAAUUGCUGAUAUAACUCAUGCUUUGUCAAAGUUGACAGAGCCGGCACCAGUUCCAAUUCAUAAAUUAUCAGUUUCAAAUAUGGUACACACUGCAAAGAAGAAAAUACGAAAACACAGAGGUGUAGAAGAGUCACCACUGAAUAAUGAUGUCCUCAAUACUAUUCUGUUGUUCUUAUUCCCUGAUGCUGCUUCUGAGAAACCGUUAGAUGGAAGUUCUUCCACAGACAGCAAUAAUCCUCUAUCAGAGAGUGAAGAAUAUAAUCUCUACAAUCAGUUCAAAUCUGCACCAUCUGACAGUUUAACAUACAAAUUGGCUUUGUGUCUUUGUAUGAUCAAUUUCUACCAUGGAGGAUUGAAAGGAGUGGCACAUCUCUGGCAGGAAUUUGUUCUUGAAAUGCGUUUCAGAUGGGAAAACAACUUUCUCAUUCCAGGAUUAACAAGUGGACCCCCAGACCUAAGAUGUUGUUUACUACAUCAGAAACUACAGAUGCUAAAUUGUUGUAUUGAAAGAAAGAAGGCCCGUGAUGAGGGGAGAAAAACAAAUACUUCAGAAAUAUACCCAGGGGAUACUGGAAAAGCUGGAGACCAGCUGGGGCCAGAUAAUCUAAAAGACAUGGAUAAGGAAAAGGGAGAGAUAGGAAAAUCUUGGGAUUCUUGGAGUGACAGUGAAGAAGAAUUUUUUGAAUGCCUAAGUGAUACCGAAGAACUUAAGGGAAAUGGACAAGAGAGUGGCAAGAAAGGAGGACCUAAGGAGGUGGCAAGUUUAAAACCAGAAGGACGACUACAUCAGCAUGGAAAACUCACACUGCUACAUAAUGGAGAACCUCUCUACAUUCCAGUGACCCAGGAACCAGCACCUAUGACAGAAGAUCUGCUAGAAGAGCAGUCGGAGGUUCUAGCUAAAUUGGGUACAUCAGCAGAAGGGGCUCACCUCCGAGCACGCAUGCAGAGUGCCUGUCUGCUCUCAGAUAUGGAAUCUUUUAAGGCAGCUAAUCCAGGUUGUUUUCUGGAAGAUUUUGUGAGGUGGUACUCACCCCGGGAUUAUAUUGAAGAGGAAGUUGUUGAUGAAAAGGGCAACAUGGUUCUGAAAGGAGAACUGAGUGCCCGAAUGAAGAUUCCAAGCAAUAUGUGGGUAGAAGCCUGGGAAACUGCUAAGCCGAUUCCUGCUAGAAGGCAGAGGAGACUUUUUGAUGAUACACGGGAAGCAGAAAAGGUGCUGCACUAUCUGGCAGUACAGAAACCUGCAGACCUCGCUCGGCACCUGUUACCUUGUGUAAUUCAUGCAGCUGUACUCAAGGUAAAGGAAGAAGAAAAUCUGGAAAACAUUUCUUCAGUUAAGAAGAUUAUAAAGCAGAUAAUAACCCAUUCCAGUAAAGUUUUGCACUUCCCCAAUCCAGAAGACAAGAAACUGGAAGAAAUCAUCCAUCAAAUUACUAAUGUAGAAGCUAUAAUUGCCAGAGCCCGCUCACUGAAAGCCAAGUUUGGAACUGAGAAAUGUGAACAAGAGGAGGAAAAAGAAGAUCUUGAAAGGUUUGUGAGUUGCCUUUUGGAGCAGCCUGAAGUUUUAGUCGUGGGUGCAGGAAGAGGACAUGCCGGCAAAAUCAUUCACAAGCUGUUUGUGAAUGCUCAAAGGUUUGCAGGUUUGUCUUCAUCAUGUCCCAGAAUAAAGUGGAUGAAUGGCUUGUGAGGGAGAUGUGCAGGCUGGGCUGGCUCAUGCUGGAGGAGCCGCUAAUUGGGUUCAAAGCUGGUACCCAUGGUCAACUGUGGUCCAGAAGCAGAUGAUCUUCCUGAUAUAGCUUCAGAAGGUCAGUAGUACCCAAACACUAUGUCACAGAACCUGUGUCACUCCCUUCACUUCAUCUCAUCACGUAGGCAUUUUAUUAUCUCACAGCAUCAUCAUAAGAAGAAUGAGUAUGGCAUAAUAAAAUAUUGUGAGAGAGAGACAACAUUCACAAAACUUUCAUUACAGUGCAUUAAAAUGUUCUGUUUUAUUAUUACCGUUAAUCUUUUAGUAAUCUACCUGAUUUAACAAUUAAAGUUGAUCAUAGAUAGGUCUGUAUAGGAAAAAAAAAGAGUAUGAGAGAGAGACCACAAUCACAUCUUUAUAUUACAGUAUAUUGUUAUAAUUGUUCUAUUUUAUUCUUGUUGCUAAUUUACCGUGCCUAAUUUAUAAAUUUAACUUUAUAAUGGUAUGCAUGUAGGAAAAAACAUAGUAUAUAGGGGAUUUAGUACUAUCCACAGUUUCAGGCAUCCACUGUGGGUCUUGGAAAAUAUUCCCCAUGGAUAAGUGGGGACUUCUGCAUGUACUGGUGAGGGAUCUGUGCCUUCAGCUUGAUUGGAUGAUGGCAAAUUGUUUUUCCAAAGUGGCUGAAAUAAUUUACAUUCCCACUAGUUCUGGAUGGGAGUUCCUUUUACUUCCUAUUCUUGCCAGCUCUUGAUAUUGACAAAGAAUUUUUUUUUAAACAAUUUGAUGUGUGUGAAAUGGCAUCUUCUUAUAGUUUUAACCUGUGUUUGCUGACACUCACCUUCCUGUGUUAUCUGAAAUUAAAAAAAAACCUGAAAAAUUGAAAAAUGCUGAAGUUCUUUUUGUCACACUCAUUCAGCAAUAUUGAAAACAGUUUUCCCUCAAGCAGCUGGUAUCCACCACUGGAUGUUCACAGCAUGAUCUCCACAAACAGUGGAACUUCCUCAGGGUUGUAAAAUGAAGCUGAAGCUCCUGCCAGCCCUGUUACUCGCUUCAGAACUGGUGGGUUUGGGGAUGUCUGGGAGGCUCAGCGGUGGAGCGUCUGCCUUUGACUCAGGGCAUGAUCCUAGGGUCCAGGAUCAAGUCCCCAUCGGCCUCCUGCAGACAGCCAGCUUCUCCCUCUGCUUAUGUCUCUGCCUCUCUCUGCCUUUUUCUCUCUGUGUCUCUCAUGAAUAAAUAAGUAAAAUCUUAAAAAAAAAAAAAAAAAAAAAAGAAAUGGUGGUUUUUUUCCUGGAUUAUGAAUGCACUGGUACUUCUAGAAUGGAGGACAAGUAUCAAAUGACUCACACAUCUCCCAUGCCUUCUGGAAACUCAUGCCUGGAAGAUAUAACCACUCAUUCCUAUGCUACAUGGUGGUCUUUAAGAGAGCUACAGCCUGCCAGCCUUCUGCACAUGACUGUCUAACAAGGUGGUGGUGACAAUUUCCUGUCCUAAAAUGAAUUCAAAGGAAAGCUACUUCUCUUCUCUCUGAGACUGAGAACUUACAUCAGCCUCGAGAGGAAACUCAGGUGAUGAGGGGAAAAAAGGCAUCUCGCAUCCCGGACAAGGGAUACAGAUUCAUCCACUCAGCCUCCCACUCCUAUAUACACACUUUUCUACUUGCUGUUCCAGGAUGAAGACACAUGGGUUUGUAGAGCCCCACUCACCUCUCUGUGACACAGUGUGCAGAGGGUCUGCAGGUUGUCCAGGGAGCACUGUCCUCCUCCACCGGACACAGGCUUGAUGUGGUCCACCUGCCAGAAAUGCCCUUCUCCUGGGUUUCUUAUCAUUUCAUUAAGCUGCAGUAAGAACACAAGAUCAGCACUUUUCAAUAUACGCUGUGGGAACUGUUGGUUUUGCCUGGUGCAAUCAUGUUUAUACAGCAAAAUCACAGUGAAAAAUACAUUAGGAUGGCUUUUUAUAGCUUUUAUUGUGAAUAGGAAAAAAGCCUCUAGGUUAGCAAUUUGAAAGCAAUAAAAUAUGUUUCUGAAAAAGUUCUUUUUCCCUUACCUAACCCAUUUUGAAAAAAUUACAAGCAAGUAUAAAAUACCAAGACUCCUGACAUAUUGGGAAAAAUUACUUGCUUCUGCACCUUUGAGCUAGUUUAGAUAGUCACUAAAAGAAAAUUAUGAAAAGAAUAAGAUCGGACUAGAAAUAAAAACUUCUGAAUAUUA